rnacentral:rRNA from 1 species
GACGAACGCUGGCGGCGUGCCUAAUACAUGCAAGUUGAGCGAUGAAGCUUGGUGCUUGCCCCAAUUUGAAGAGCAGCGAACGGGUGAGUAACGCGUGGGGAAUCUGCCUUUGAGCGGGGGACAACAUUUGGAAACGAAUGCUAAUACCGCAUAACAACUUUAAACAUAAGUUUUAAGUUUGAAAGAUGCAAUUGCAUCACUCAAAGAUGAUCCCGCGUUGUAUUAGCUAGUUGGUGAGGUAAAGGCUCACCAAGGCGAUGAUACAUAGCCGACCUGAGAGGGUGAUCGGCCACAUUGAGACUGAGACACGGCCCAAACUCCUACGGGAGGCAGCAGUAGGGAAUCUUCGGCAAUGGACGAAAGUCUGACCGAGCAACGCCGCGUGAGUGAAGAAGGUUUUCGGAUCGUAAAACUCUGUUGGUAGAGAAGAACGUUGGUGAGAGUGGAAAGCUCAUCAAGUGACGGUAACUACCCAGAAAGGGACGGCUAACUACGUG